UAAGGUGGUUAUAGCGGCAGGGUUCCACCUCUUCCCAUUCCGAACAGAGAAGUUAAACCUGCCAACGUCGAUGGUACUGCUCACAAGGUGGGAGAGUAGAUAGCCGCCGUUU
rnacentral:rRNA from 1 species